rnacentral:tRNA from 1 species
GCCUUCAUGGGAUCAGGACUUCGCGUCCCCCAUAUUGGCUCGACCUAGACAAUCGGGUCCGGUUCUCUUGGAAUCAGGCCGGACCUUUGUAGACAGUGCGGGAUUCCGCCGUCUCCGUUUCUCUUUCUUCUCUUGUUAGUGAGCACACGCUUGGAAUCGGGCCUGUAGCUCAGGUGGUUAGAGCGCACGCCUGAUAAGCGUGAGGUCGGUAGUUCAAGUCUACCCAGGCCCACCAUUACCAGGGCCGGAAGACAGGUGGCGGCCUUUUGCGCUGAUACCUGGCGGGGCCAUAGCUCAGUUGGGAGAGCGCCUGCUUUGCAAGCAGGAGGUCGUCGGUUCGAUUCCGUCUGGCUCCACCACUUUCGGCGGGAGCCGGCGUUUCGCCGGCCGAUGUGCUCAAUAACGUGCUCUAGAGAAACAGAAUUCGUGCCCCGUUUGGGCGCGCUUAAGUUCAUUUACAUCGUGAAGAGGGGAUUUGCCUGAAGCCUCCAACACCGGAGGGCGCCUAAUUGCGUCUUUUUUGAAGUGGCUGCCUUUUUGGCCAGUGGUGACCGCACCGCUGUCGGGUUGAUCUCAGAUUAUCUGGUCUAACAUCUCCAUUGAUGUUGGUCCGUUCGCGCGCGCCCGUUGGGUUCGCAAGAGCGGAACGAGCAUUGAUGAUGAGAGCAAUCAAGUGACCUAAGGGCGUUUGGGUGGAUGCCUUGG